GCCGCCUUAGCUCAGUUGGUAGAGCAAUGCAUUCGUAACGCAUAGGUCCGCAGUUCAAUUCUGCGAGGCGGCUCCA
rnacentral:tRNA from 1 species